UUUUAAGACAAGGGGUUUUUUUUUUUUCAAUCAAAANGCGAAGUAGGUCUGCGAAGGAUCUAGCUGAAGCUGUCGGGGCCCGUUCCACGGGUCCGUGUCGGAGCUAACGCGUUAAGCAUCCCGCCUGGUGGAGUACGGCCGCAAGGCUAAAACUCAAAGAAAUUGACGGGGGCCCGCACAAGCGGCGGAGCAUGCGGAUUAAUUCGAUGCAACGCGAAGAACCUUACCUGGGCUUGACAUGUUCCCGACCGCUCCAGAGAUGGGGCUUCCCUUCGGGGCGGGUCACAGGUGGUGCAUGGUCGUCGUCAGCUCGUGUCGUGAGAUGUUGGGUUAAGUCCCGCAACGAGCGCAACCCUCGCCCCGUGUUGCCAGCGGAUUAUGCCGGGAACUCACGGGGGACCGCCGGGGUUAACUCGGAGGAAGGUGGGGAUGACGUCNGAUCAUCAUGCCCCUUACGUCCAGGGCUUCACGCAUGCUACAAUGGCCGGUACAACGGGAUGCGACGCGGCGACGCGGAGCGGAUCCCUGAAAACCGGUCUCAGUUCGGAUCGCAGUCUGCAACUCGACUGCGUGAAGGCGGAGUCGCUAGUAAUCGCGAAUCAGCAACGUCGCGGUGAAUGCGUUCCCGGGCCUUGUACACACCGCCCGUCAAGUCAUGAAAGUGGGCAGCACCCGAAGCCGGUGGCCUAACCCCUUGUGGGAUGGAGCCGUCUAAGGUGAGGCUCGUGAUUGGGACUAAGUCGUAACAAGGUAGCCGUACCGGAAGGUGCGGCUG
rnacentral:rRNA from 1 species